rnacentral:rRNA from 1 species
UACGUAGGCAGCAAGCGUUGUUCGGAAUUACUGGGCGUAAAGAGUGUGUAGGCGGUGUUCUAAGUCUGUUGUGAAAUCUCCCGGCUUAACUGGGAGGGUGCGGCGGAAACUGGAAUGCUAGAGGAUGGGAGAGGUAAGCGGAAUUCCUGGUGUAGCGGUGAAAUGCGCAGAUAUCGGGAGGAACACCAGUAGCGAAGGCGGCACUCUGGGCCGGUACUGACGCUGAGGAGCGAAAGCGUGGGGAGCAAACAGG